AACGAACGCUGGCGGCAGGCUUAACACAUGCAAGUCGAACGGUUGUAGCAAUACAGCAGUGGCGCACGGGUGAGUAACGCGUGGAUAUCUGCCUUUUGGUUCGGAAUAACUCCGGGAAACUGGAGCUAAUACCGGAUGGUUCCUGCGGGAUAAAGAUUUAUCGCCAAAAGAUGAGUCCGCGUACGAUUAGCUAGUUGGUGAGGUAAUGGCUCACCAAGGCGACGAUCGUUAGCUGGUCUGAGAGGACGAUCAGCCACACUGGGACUGAGACACGGCCCAGACUCCUACGGGAGGCAGCAGUGGGGAAUAUUGGACAAUGGGGGCAACCCUGAUCCAGCCAUGCCGCGUGAGUGAUGAAGGCCUUCGGGUUGUAAAGCUCUUUUGGCGGGACGAUGAUGACGGUACCCGCAGAAUAAGCCCCGGCUAACUUCGUGCCAGCAGCCGCGGUAAU
rnacentral:rRNA from 1 species